UGUCGAGUUUCGAAAGCAAGUUGAUCGAUGGAUCGGUAAUAUAUGUUAUUACCGCAGGGAGCGGCCUCGACGGGCAUAGGACCACCACCGCGACGACCAGCAGAAGAGGCGCCACUAGUACCCGCCGGUGCCUCGGCGGCCGGCGCUGUAGUCCCCAGGUGUUCCCCAUCAUUAGCCGUCGGGUGGCGCACCGUAGUAUGUAGCCGGAGCGUAAGGUACGUGGGCCAAGAAGUCUACGGGGCCGCCGCCGCCGCGUGGAGGGGGACGGGGCCUGUCGUCUCCCUAACCUCCUGUCGGAACUACGUAUGCAAGUUUGCUCGAUAGCAUAUUGGUUUAACCUGGUAUAUAUGGUCGUCUAUCAGUAUUACAGACGAAGACGAGGUAGCACACGAACCAUGGUAGUGAUGAACUACGCCUUAUUUUC
rnacentral:rRNA from 1 species